rnacentral:lncRNA from 1 species
CUUUUUGCUGUUUCAUUUUCCAUUUUUAAAGGAGCCUCUAUGUUUUCUUGACUACAUUAAUGCCUCAGACAUAACAAUUUUCAAAUAAAGUUGGUCAAGGUUUUGCAUUGGAAGAAGGCAUGCUAUUAUAACAACCCUCCUCCUAAAACCACAGUAGCUAGUAGUGCAAUAGACCAUAAAUUUCAAGAAGAAAUUCAAGUCGAAGAGGGAGAAGGAAGAGGAAAAAUAUGAGGAGGAAGAGGAAGAAGAGGAGGAAGAGAAAGAAGAGGAGCAGUAGGAGGAGACAGGGC